GGGCCCGCACAAGCGGAGGAACAUGUGGUUUAAUUCGAUGAUACGCGAGGAACCUUACCCGGGCUUGAAUUGCAACUGAAUGAUGUGGAGACAUGUCAGCCGCAAGGCAGUUGUGAAGGUGCUGCAUGGUUGUCGUCAGCUCGUGCCGUGAGGUGUCGGCUUAAGUGCCAUAACGAGCGCAACCCUUAUCGAUAGUUACCAUCAGGUGAUGCUGGGGACUCUGUCGAGACUGCCGUCGUAAGAUGUGAGGAAGGUGGGGAUGACGUCAAAUCAGCACGGCCCUUACGUCCGGGGCUACACACGUGUUACAAUGGGGGGUACAGAAGGCAGCUACACGGCGACGUGAUGCUAAUCCCUAAAGCCUCUCUCAGUUCGGAUUGGAGUCUGCAACCCGACUCCAUGAAGCUGGAUUCGCUAGUAAUCGCGCAUCAGCCACGGCGCGGUGAAUACGUUCCCGGGCCUU
rnacentral:rRNA from 1 species